rnacentral:rRNA from 1 species
ACAUGCCUACAACAUAGCAUUAAUGCAACAGAUCCCAUUAGAACUUCACAGUUAAGCACGCUUAGGCUAGAGUAGUAUUGGGAUGGAUGACCACCCAGGAAGUCCUAGUGAUUUACAUGCC